rnacentral:rRNA from 1 species
GAUGAACGCUGGCGGCGUGCCUAAUACAUGCAAGUCGAGCGAACGGACGAGAAGCUUGCUUUUCUGAUGUUAGCGGCGGACGGGUGAGUAACACGUGGAUAACCUACCUAUAAGACUGGGAUAACUUCGGGAAACCGGAGCUAAUACCGGAUAAUAUUUUGAACCGCAUGGUUCAAAAGUGAAAGACGGUCUUGCUGUCACUUAUAGAUGGAUCCGCGCUGCAUUAGCUAGUUGGUAAGGUAACGGCUUACCAAGGCAACGAUGCAUAGCCGACCUGAGAGGGCGAUCGGCCACACUGGAACUGAGACACGGUCCAGACUCCUACGGGAGGCAGCAGUAGGGAAUCUUCCGCAAUGGGCGAAAGCCUGACGGAGCAACUCCGCGUGAGUGAUGAAGGUCUUCGGAUCGUAAAACUCUGUUAUUAGGGAAGAACAUAUGUGUAAGUAACUGUGCACAUCUUGACGGUACCUAAUCAGAAAGCCACGGCUAACUACGUG